rnacentral:lncRNA from 1 species
AAUAGAUUAUUGCAGGUCCGGCUAAAUCUCUGGAUUUCUGUUCCGAUCCGGUCUAGGGGGAUGAUCAAGGACGAGACAGAGACACCCUACCGCCGGCCGGAGAAGUAAGAUAGGCGUCCGCUCGAGACGGUGGAAGGAUGGCCUAGAUGCCUGGAGGAUCUUGAUCGCAGCGUCGUCCGAUGGAGAGACGCGUGCAACCUAGUCGGCGGCAACCUGCUUCCGCUCCAUAGACCACCGGCGUCGGCGCGUCGCCGUGCAUCCUUGCCGUGCGGCAGUGUCUGCUCAACCCGUC